AACGAACGCUGGCGGCAUGCCUAACACAUGCAAGUCGAACGAUGCUUUCGGGCAUAGUGGCGCACGGGUGCGUAACGCGUGGGAAUCUGCCCUUGGGUUCGGAAUAACAGUUGGAAACUACUGAUAAUACCGGAUGAAGACGAAAGUCCAAAGAUUUACUGCCUGAGGAUGAGCCCGCGUAAGAUUAGGUAGUUGGUGGGGUAAAGGUCUACCAAGCCGACGAUCUUUAGCUGGUCUGAGAGGAUGAUCAGCCACACUGGGACUGAGACACGGCCCAGACUCCUACGGGAGGCAGCAGUGGGGAAUAUUGGACAAUGGGCGAAAGCCUGAUCCAGCAAUGCCGCGUGAGUGAUGAAGGCCUUAGGGUUGUAAAGCUCUUUUACCCGGGAUGAUAAUGACAGUACCGGGAGAAUAAGCCCCGGCUAACUCCGUGCCAGCAGCCGCAGUAA
rnacentral:rRNA from 1 species